rnacentral:lncRNA from 10 species
CCUCGUCUCCGCCCCCAACUCGCUCCUCCUUGCUCUCAACGCUCCUUCCCUUCCUUCCCUCUCCAAGUCUCUCUCUCUCUCUCUCUCUCUCAGCGCGCACACGCCCACAUUUUCUCCCCCAGUCUCCCUCUCCCACGGUCUCACCCACUUUCUAUUUUCCUUUCUCCUACACCCUCCCUCCUCAUCUCGCCGACUCUGACACUUGCCCCUUCCUCUUCCUUUCUGCCACACUGCCCCCUCUUUCUCUCCCUUUUCUCCCUGGCUCCUUCCCUCUCCCCGCCCCGCAGAUUGUGAGCCCGCCCUUGACCGGGCAACCGCCACCUGUGCAGAUAUUGGCUGAGUGGCCACAGCUGGAGGACCUGCCCCGGGUGGGCGCUAGACCCAGGAGACCUCCUGUGACUUCUUGCUGUAGUUCAGGAGCUGAAGAGGAAAACGGGCUCCGGGGUGAUGGAAUCACCAUCCAUGCAUCUUCAGUGACCCUCCCGGAAAGAGGAUGAUGUGUCUGGGACUUGUGUGGCUACUGAUGUGCUGAUAGAAAUGAUGUGUAUUUCUUCUGAGGAGAGGCUUUAGGGCCAGCGAGUGCCUGCCACGUUCCUUUCCUGUCUGCCACAAGACUGGAACCAUUCAGGCGUUGUGCCAGGGGAGAGGCUGCUCCAUCACCUGGGUCCCAGAGUGAAACUGCAGAGGCCCAGCCGGCCGCCAGUGGACAUGUGAACAGAGAUGCCUGGAACUGGCUCAAGCAUGCAGGACUUUAUGGAAAUGAAAUUCAGGACGUCAUGAGAAAAGGCUAGGACACGCAGCUUGGUCUCACAGAACCUGGACAAUCUUCAGGCAACAUCUAUUCCUUUUUUUCUGCCUCUCCUGGCCAAUCAUCUUCUUUGUCUCCUUGAGCAGACGCAUGUCCCCAAUUCCAAAUCCCCUGUAAUUUUCACUUCCGUGGUACUGCUACUGGGGCCCUGCUUGGGCCUCAAAGCUAUGUGACUCACAGAUCCAUGGCCCAGCACAAGUCGACUAUAGCUCUUGAGUCUCUUAAUUCAGAUCAUAAGAAAGACAAGAUCUGAGGGAAGUGAUUUGUAAAGUACCUAAGAGACAGGGGAGGGAAGUAACAUUUUCUUGAAUGCUUACUGUGUGCCAAGUGGGCACAUGGAAUAUCUCAGUUAACCUCACAAUAGCCUCACUGAGCAAAGGGUACAAUCUCCAUUUUUACAGGAAGGGGAGUGAUAUGGUUUAGAUAGCUUCCCCUCCAAAUCUCAGGUUGAAAUAUAAUCCCCAAUGUUAGAGGCCUGGUGGGAGGUGUUUGGUUCAUGCGGGCAGACCUCUCAUGAAUGGCUUAGCGCUCUCCUCUUGGUGAUGAGUGAGUUCACAUGAGAUCUGGUUUUUUAAAACUCUGUGGACCUCCCCUGACUUGUUCUCUUGUUCCUGCUUUUGCCAUGUAAUGUGCCUGCUCCUGCUUUGCAUUUCACCAUGAUUGUAAGCUUCCUGAGGCCCUCACCAGAAGCUGAGCAGAUGUUGGUGUCAUGACUAUACAGCCUGUAGAAGCAUGAGCCAAUUAAACUUCUAUUCUUUAUCAAUUACCCAGCCUCAGGUAUUUCUUUAUAUCAAUGCAAGAAUGACCUAAUACAAAAAAUUGGAACUAAGGAGUAGAGGUUUGCUGUAAAGAUAGCUGAUGGGGAAGUAACUUCAGAACUGGGUAAUGGGCAG